rnacentral:lncRNA from 1 species
GGACUACCACCACACUUUCUCAAACUUAAAGUUGGUGCCCCUAUAAUGCUCAUCAGAAAUUUGGUUCCCCCAAAACAAUGCAAUGGCACACGUUUGAUCGUUAAGUCCUUAUCUCCCACCGUAAGCUUAUAUCAAUAUUUGCCUGAAUAAUCAUCAUAAUUCAGUGCAAUCAUUAACAGUACUUUCAAGCAAUUCAGCCCCGAGCAACGCCGGGCAAUUCUGCUAGUUUAAGUAUAUAAGUGCGUGUGUGUAACAAUAAUGAACUUAUGGUAUACUGUGCUCAGGUGCACUACAGGAGAGAGGGAGAUAUGUCUAUAUAUAAAUGUGUAUGUAUGUAUAUGUGUAUAUAUAUAUAUAUAUAUAUAUAUAAUUCAUGGUGGCCUAAAUGUAUACAUGUGUGUACAUAUACACAUGUGUGUGUGUGUGUGUGUCUCUCUCUCUCUCUCUCUCUCUCUAUAUAUAUAUAUAUAUAUAUAUAUAGUCUUCUACUAUGUUGUAGGGCUGACUGCAGCCCUGUGAGUAGAUCAGGUACAUGGAAACUGAAAAACAUCCAUAUAUAUGUAUGCUUCUAUCUAUCUAUCUAUCUAUCUAUCUAUCUAUCAAUAUGUAUGUAUGUAUGUAUAAAGAUUAAAGUAAAAGUUAAAAAGCAAACCAUUGGACAUCACUUUAAAAAACACAUUUAAUUUAGACAGACACUCUGUAUAUCAUUUAUCUUCUCUCUAAAUUAAAUGUAUUUUUCAAGUGAUGCCAAACGAUUUGCCUUUUCAUUUUUACUUCAAUCUUUAUCUACCUGCUCAAAGAGAAACCACCUAUAGCCACUUCUGAUAGGCAAUCUCAACAUCAUAUGUUCAGUUGCAGUUCAAACCAGAGUUUUAGGGGUAAACCAAACAAAGCACAUAUAGAACAAACUCAUAGAUCAGAUGCAUUGAGAUUUUGUCAGUGACCACAUGACAAUGCAUCUGUUUCACAACAAAUGGUAGUUUGUCUUUGUAUGUUUUUCAUUGGCUUCCGUGUGUUGUCCAUGCUGCAACCCCUAUUUAUAUAGGGCUACCUGCUUCUCUUACUACUUUUACAUACUCACAUACACUCAUACAUGUAUGUGUAUAUGUAUGCGUAUAUUUCUAUGUAUGUCUAUAAAUAUGAGUUUGUGUGUGUAUAUAAAUGUGUAUGUAUGUUUAUAUAUAUAUAUAUGUGUGUGUGUGUAUUUAUAUAUGCAUGUGUCCCCGGAUGUGUGGAAAGCAGACCUUAAAUGAUGAUGGUGAGCCAACAAAGAAAGGGGUGCAGCAGCUACAUUUGUCUGUGGUGCAAGGAGCUUAAAUAUGGUCGAAGGAACUAGGACUGGGCCUGUGAAUCUGAAGGUUCUCUCACUGAAAAGAAAAAUACUAAUCACAGCCCUUUCUGGGAGAACAUUCACCCUCUGAGAUUCAAAAUUUGUUUUGUGCUAUCUUGCAAUUUCACCCCACCCCACCCCCAGGACUUUCUUUGUGUGUGUGUGUGUGUGUGUGCUGGCAGUAUCACAACCACCAAAAAUGUGAGAUAAUCACAGCAAGAAUGAUCUUUUGAGGAUAGUUCUGCUGAAUGUGGUGGGGAGUGACCAAGGGUUAAAUAACGACCUUCUCACUUCACCCCUCCAACUUGUAUUUUGCAUUUUUCUUGUGUUUCUUUCUCUUCUCCUUUUGUCUCCUUCCAUCAUUUUAUCUCCUUCAAUCUAGCCCACCCCACCAACUUUGAUUUUUCUCUCCUUUUUACUCUUUUUUUAAAAUAUUAAUUGAGGUUACUAUUUUAAGGCACCUAUUUACCAUUUUUAGAAGAACAAUGAGUUUGUUGCAGGUUUCUCCAAUUCUGACAUAACAGAGAGUAUUCUCUGCAAACAAAACAUUUUUUCUUGAUUUUUUAUAUUUCUUUUUUUCUCUUUUUGAACCCUUUUAGAUAAUAAUCAAUAAAUGGUAUGACCUCUUCCACAU